CAAAUCCCUGAUGAUAGAAAGGCACCUAAUGGGCUCACCAGGGAGCAGUGUUCCAGCCAUCUUACCCUUCAGGAGGCAGUUUUGCCAUGCAUCCAUGCUCACCAAGCCUUUGGUGCCUUAGGUGGGAUUUCUGUUGUUCUUAUUGUUGGGAGUUUUGGUGCUGUUUGUUUGUUUGUGGACAGUAAUCCUGCAGAGAGAAAAUUCAAACAGGGCUAAGAGCUGACAGUGAAAAGCAAGCCUCUCCACAACCCUCUCUGUCCUCUCUUUCCCUGGCUUCUAGGUUUCCUUCUUCAUGGGUCUUGUCUAAGAACAUAAGAAGGAUAUGUGUGGUGGCUCAGGUCUGUAAUCCCAGCACUUGGGAGGCCAAGGCUGGAGGAUUGCUUGAGGCCAGGAGUCCGAGACUAGCCUGGGCAAUAUAGUGAAACCCUGUUUUUACAAAACAAAAACAAAAACAAAAAUCUAGCCUGGUGUGGUACUGGUGCGUGCCUGUAAUCCCAGUGCUUUAGGAGGCUGAGGCAAGAGGAUUGCUUGAGCCCAGGAGUUUGAGGCUGCAGUGAGCUAGUGAUUGUGCUGCUGCACUCCAACCUGGGCAACAGUGCAAGACCCCAUCUCCAAACAAUAACAAAACAAAACAAAAAGAACAUAAGAGCCUGGCAGCCCAUCUUCCUCACACUCCACAAAUGGCAGCAUCAUAUACACAUAGUUCUCUACUCUGCUUCUGGGAGCUUAUUCCACAUGAGUGCAUAUGGAACUGCCUUAUUCUUUUAAAGGCUGCAUAGUACCCCACAGUUUUAGAUGGGUCUUAGUUGACUUAAGUGUCCCCCUCCUGAUGGACAGACACAUACUCCUGCAGGACCAGCACCUGGGACAGCGCCUGGCACAGAGCAAGUGCUCAGUAAACAUCUGCCAAAUGCAAAGGAAGGCUGCAUGAAUGAAGGUAGAGCUGGGAUUUGAGACCAGGCUUGCCAGAUUCUAGGGCCCUAGAGGGAGAUGGUGGGGCAAACCAAAUACUGUGGGGUGCUGUGCAGUUAGUAUAACCUGGGAAGCCAGCUCCAAGGAUGGCUGCCAAGCUGAGAGCUCAUGUGCAACCCAAUGUAACAUCUGUCCAAGUACCCUACCUUUUAAAACACCUUGGAAGACAUCAAAUGGCCCUCCACUGGCUGUCAGUUUCUCACUCUGCACUGUGUCACUAAGAAGCCACCAUGUGCUAGGCCCUGCACGAGGAAAUUCCAGCACCAUUAAUAAAUACCCUCAGUUUAUGGCGAGAAAGGCCUGGCUCAGCAAGGUGAAGUGAUGUGCCCGAGGCUCACCAGAACUGUGCCUGGUUCUGGAAGGCUCCAAGUCCACUGGUCUUUCAUCUACACCUGCUGUGCCUCACCUGGGCAGCUUUGAUAGCUGGGGAACAUUUCUUCAAGGAGCCGCCUCUCACAUUCAGGGAAGGUGCCUGUCCUGCUUUGCUGUGAAACACCUCAAUGUCAUGACUUCCUCUGAUAUGUUCUUUAAUUAAUUAUUUCUGCAAACCUAAGUUUGAUUAAUUGGAUGCAAUCACAGGACUGGUUUGAUGAGAGACUCAGUUCC
rnacentral:lncRNA from 1 species